UUAUGAAGAUAGAAAAGUCUAACGUGACACAUUAGUCAAGCCAACCUAAACAUCUUUUUCUAAUUUUGUUUUUUUUUCCUCUCUUACUUAUUAGUCCCUUCAAAUCUCAAAAAGUCCACAAGUCUCUCUCUCUCUCUCUCCAUUCUUCUUCUUGUAGAGAGAGCUUUUAUGGCGGUGGAGCUCAUGACUAGAAACUACAUCUCAGGCGUCGGAGUCGACAGCUUAGCCGUUCAAGAAGCAGCAGCUUCAGGACUCAAAAGCAUGGAGAAUUUUAUUGGUUUGAUGUCUCAUGAAAGCUUUAACUCCAAUCAACCAUCGUCUUCCUCCUCCGCCGCCAUCACCGAUCUUGAACUAGCUCGUAAUACAACGGCGGACGCGGCGGUCUCCAAGUUCAAAAGGGUCAUAUCUCUCUUAGAUCGUACUCCAACCGGACACGCCCGGUUUAGACGCGCUCCGGUUAUUUCACCAAUUCAAGAAAUUAAACCGACGCCGUUUCAAGCUCCGCCGCAGAUCCAUAAAGGUUCGUUUUCUUCACCGAUUAAAACGAUCGAGUUCUCUUCUCUCUCCUCCGUAACGGCGGAGUCCGAGCACAUGAAACACCACCACCACCGUCGUGAAACGGCGCCGUUCGGUACUCAAAGCCUUUCCACAACAGUUUCUUCACAUCAUCACCGUCCUUCUGAAACGGCGCCGUUUGGUACUCAAAGCCUCUCCACAACAGUUUCUUCUUUCUCCAAACCAACGAAGAGAAAAUGUAACUCAGAGAAUCAUAUCGCCGGAAAAUGCGCCUCUGCUUCCUCCGGUCGUUGUCACUGCUCCAAGAAAAGGAAGAUAAAACAGAGGAGGGUAAUUAGGGUUCCGGCGAUAAGUGCUAAAAUGUCCGAUGUACCUCCAGACGAUUAUUCAUGGAGAAAGUACGGACAGAAACCAAUCAAAGGAUCUCCACAUCCAAGAGGAUAUUACAAGUGCAGUAGCGUAAGAGGUUGUCCAGCUCGCAAACACGUGGAGCGAGCGGCCGAUGAUUCGUCCAUGUUAAUCGUUACUUACGAAGGAGAUCAUAAUCAUUCUCUCUCCUCCGCCGAUCUCGCCGGCGCCGCAGUAGCAAAUCUCAUUUUGGAAUCGUCUUGAAGAGGAAAAAAAAAUCUUUUGGAAGGGAUAUAUGAUAUAAAAAAAAUUAGAUCUUUAGUGAAGUUACUUCUCUUUUAAUUCUGUUUUAAAUGACUGAAACUAUGCAUCUUGUAAUCAAAAACCUUCUGCGGAAGAUAAACAUUUUAGCUAAAUUAGAAAUUCGAUUCAUAUUAGUUUUUUUUUUGUUAUUUUUUUUUUUAGGUUAAUGAUUCAUCAUCUGAGUUCUGACAUAUCGCAAUAUGAAUGGCUGAUUGCAGUUUGAGGAGUUUAUUUUUAUUUUAGGCCAAAAAAGAGAGAGCUUGGGGGUCAAAUUUAAAAGUUGGGUAAAGAAGAUGGGACGUGCUAAAUGGUCAAAGAAGUACAAAGAUAUGGGACCAAAGAUGUCGUGUUUGACCAGAGCUUCUACGACAAAGGAAAGGGGCUCUUUUUCAACUGUGUGUAUAUAUAUAUUUAUGAAACACAAAUUAUUAAAAUCUAAAAACUAAUUUAAGUAAAUGUUAAAAAGGGAGCAAAAUCUUAUUAAUUUAAUGAUUAAUAAACAAACUCGAAAGAGUAAAUCAAUACUAUUAAAA